GGAGUCGUGUCCGAGCGGUUUAAGGUGCAGUCUUGGAAAGGCUGUGUAGGUGAAAGCUUACCCAGGGUUCGAAUCCCUGCGACUCCG
rnacentral:tRNA from 1 species